UUACACAGUUUUUUUCAGGGUCCUGAGGUCCUUGCUGUUAUUUUCCAAGGGUUAUUUUGACUUCCAGUUGUCACUUAGAAACACUAGAGAGCGUUAGAAUGGUCAUAUACUUUACCUAUAGGUUGCUGUUUGCAUGCUUUGCUUUGCCUGGAGUCUUACUUGGAGAAUUGGCUUUCCGAUGUCCAAGUUGUGCGGCGGAGAGCCUGGCUGCGUGUCCCAAAGUCACAGCAGCAUGUGCAGAAAUAGUGAGGGAGCCGGGCUGCGGGUGCUGUCCAAUGUGCGCCCGGUUGGAGGGGGAGAACUGCGGGGUCUACACGCCAAGGUGCUCCACUGGCCUGAUGUGCUAUCCAAGCACAGAGUUUGAACUACCUCUGCAACAGCUCAUUCAGGGUUUGGGACGAUGUCGACAAAAAGUGGAUUUGGAAGUCACAUCAAGUCUGGACCCCCAGGCUACAAAUGAUGUGCACGGGACCGAGAAUCCAGUUACCAAAAGACCUCCUUUGGCCGAUGCUUGGUUGUGGCAGGAGUCCGCCAGGAAACAAUAUCAGAAUGAGCUCAAAGCCAAGAUGAAGACCAAACACCCAGAGGACCCCCGAACCCAGAAAGUGCCACAGAGCGCCUGCAAUCAGGAACUGGAAAAGGUCUUAGAGGAGGUCUCCAAAAUAACCUCUGAGGAUAACAGAGGCCCGCUGGAGAAUCUGUACGAGCUCAAGUUUCCUAACUGUGACAGACAUGGACAGUACAACCUCAAACAGUGCCACAUGUCCACCCACGGCCAGCGGGGCGAGUGCUGGUGCGUUAACCCCUUAACCGGGGUCCAGAUUCCAACAACGCCUAAAGUCAGAGGGGAUCCCAACUGUAACCAGUUCCAGGAGGAACUGAGAGUGAUGCCCACUGCAACAGCUGCGUACUAGCACGGCCCAGCACAUCCAAAGACAGGGUUGGGUUUACUUAAAAAUUCUAAAUGGAGGAUUUGUGGAAUAGGGUUAUUUGAUCAUCAUGUAAAGAAGUUGCUAUAUUUGAAGUCUUUGUCUGUACUUCUUUUUAAAAUGUACACUAGGUUUAGGUUAAAGUAUCACUGAUGUGUUCUAGGAUGAAGUUGGCAUUGUUCUAGCCUUCCUGUUGUCAACGAAUCCAGUGAUUUCUGACUUUUCUAGCUUUUCCUUGUGACUCAAGUCCAUGUACUCCUACUAAAGAUGUAUGGAAUACAUAUUUUGUGUUUAAUCUGUCCUAAAGCAGCUGGGAACUGUAGUUUUAUUUACAAACUUUACUUAAACUGAAGAAAAGGGUACAUUGCUGGGGACUAUUUCUAACUGCGGAUUAACACACAUUUGUUGUACACGUUUGUUUUUUGUGGAUGCCAGACAGCAGGACGUUUUUUUGGACUUAUGUCCUCUUGCCAGUUGGGUCUUUUUAGUGUUGCUUUCAGUUGCUUUUUAAGGGGAUUUGUUGACAUUAUAAAAAGAAUUGUGCCAGCCUUAUCCUUUGAAUCUGCAUUGAUUGAUUGUUGGGACCACUUAGAGGCAGCGGAACAAGCUGUAAACAUAUCUUAUCUUAUAGUGAAUGUGUCAGCAGACAGAGCAAGAUUAGCAUUCCUUUGGAGUCUUUUUUUUUUUACCCACUUGACAAAAGUAAUUCUAAUCUUUACUCUUAUUUUAACUCUUGAGAUCUUCACCAAAUCCUGAGAAAAAUAUCUGACUCUUUAGCCGACAAAUGCUC